CAAAUACUCCCUCCGUCCGGAAAUAGUUGUCAUCAAAAUGGAUAAAAGGAAAUGUAUCUAGACGUAUUUUAGUUUUAGAUACAUCUCUUUUUAUCCAUUUUGAUGACAAGUAUUUUCGGACGGAGGGAGUAGAAA
rnacentral:pre_miRNA from 1 species